CACGUUUUUCGACAAACACGCUGAGAAUUAAUUGCACGGUCCUGCUUAAUAAGUCAGUAAAGCAUUAAAGUGUUUUUAUAAUUUUAUUGUAUUUUAUUUAUUGCAUUAAUGCGGCGUCUUGUUCAAUAACUGUUUUUUUAUGUAACUAUAAUUUCAAAAAUUUAAUACAACAAUCCGCGAUCUACCUGUUCAAUUACAAAUAGAAGAUAGUAAAAUACUGGACAAAAAUGCACAUUAAAUAUCAUCGUACACGGGUAUUUAAUUACCUAACGAGUUAGAUGGUCCUAAGAGGAUCCAAUCCGCGGAACUUCCGGCCAAGCCGUGCUGCACCAAAAUCGGCGGCCUCCUCGAGAUUGUCUUAUUAUUUCGUCCAUAGGGAAUGCGAUGAAUCUCUAAAAUGUACCCAUCCUCCGUAAUGACUUUAUGAGUUUCCAUCGGGUAACCGUGUUUUCGUAUAAGGUCUGGCUAAUGAAAUAAAACUAUUUAUUAAGAAGAUGAACGCAGCAUCGGUGCCGCGUCACGUAGACGUAGCAGUGUAUUAAAUAAAAAAAGAAACGUAAACAACACUCACUCCCAUAAGUUCCAUAUCCGGAUGCUUUUUUCCUUUGCGAAAACCGGUGAUGGAAGAAAUAUUCAUCGCGAAUAAUUGCAGAACGACGAGACUGCGCAACAACGACAUCGUGUUUCAAAUAAAUCGUUGAUGAUAAAACGUGAGUAUUUUAUAGGAGACGGCGGCUUGAACAGGUGUGCUCAUGGUGCAUGGUUCGUUUAUCCUGUGUUCCCGACCUUUAACGUGUACAUCGGCAUUGCUUAGCAAAUGGAAAGUGCAGUAGGAACGGAUAAAUGAAACCGAUCAAGGAGAAGGUCUCUCCCACCCCACAGUCUCGCUGUAUUUGCGCUGUAGUACCCUUGACAUCUGGAACAUAAAAAAAAACCCAUUGUUUUCGCUCGGAACCUGACCUCCGGCAGUAUUGUGAAACUGCAUACGCAAUAGAGGGUGGUUGUACGCAAAGCAAGGUCGAUUACAUCAUCAUAUAUAACAACGACCGUUUACGAAUAAGUACAAAACAUGUUUAUACCUCAUUUAACGAUUUAUUUAUAUUCUUAACAUUCAUUAUUUACUAGAUUCAAUAUAUGUAGGCCAAUCCGAGAUUAUUUCGUUCUUUCUAUGUGUUUAAAAAAAUGUUCAGUUGAAUAUUUCGAGGUAAGAGUACAAGAAAGAAAUAAAGUUGAUAACAUUGUGA